rnacentral:lncRNA from 1 species
GAUAUUCGAUAGAAUAUCAAAUUUCAAAAAUUGGCAUCUCUACUAAACAUUUACUGUUUUACCGAGUUCUGACCACAUUUUUACCUUGUCAUAUUAUCCACAAUAUUUUUUUUUGUAAUCUACAAAUAGCGGAAAAUAUUUGUGUAAGCCGUCCAACCAGCUUAGCCUGCUGAGUUAAUGGAACAAUUUAAAAAUGCUUGUCAUGUGAU